GAUGAACGCUGGCGGCGUGCCUAAUACAUGCAAGUCGAGCGAACGGACGAGAAGCUUGCUUCUCUGAUGUUAGCGGCGGACGGGUGAGUAACACGUGGAUAACCUACCUAUAAGACUGGGAUAACUUCGGGAAACCGUAGCUAAUACCGGAUAAUAUUUUGAACCGCAUGGUUCAAAAGUGAAAGACGGUCUUGCUGUCACUUAUAGAUGGAUCCGCGCUGCAUUAGCUAGUUGGUAAGGUAACGGCUUACCAAGGCAACGAUGCAUAGCCGACCUGAGAGGGUGAUCGGCCACACUGGAACUGAGACACGGUCCAGACUCCUACGGGAGGCAGCAGUAGGGAAUCUUCCGCAAUGGGCGAAAGCCUGACGGAGCAACGCCGCGUGAGUGAUGAAGGUCUUCGGAUCGUAAAACUCUGUUAUUAGGGAAGAACAUAUGUGUAAGUAACUGUGCACAUCUUGACGGUACCUAGGCAGAAAGCCACGGCUAACUACGU
rnacentral:rRNA from 1 species